GAUGAAGAACGCAGCGAAAUGCGAUAAGUAAUGUGAAUUGCAGAAUUCAGUGAAUCAUCGAAUCUUUGAACGCACAUUGCGCCCGCCAGUAUUCUGGCGGGCAUGCCUGUUCGAGCGUCAUUUCAACCCUCAAGCCCCAGCGGCCUGGUGUUGGGGACCGGCGACCUCGCCCGAGCCCGCCCUCCGGGGCGCGUGCCCGGUGCGUCCGCCGCCCCCGAAAUGAAUUGGCGGCCUCGUCGCGGCCUCCUCUGCGUAGUAGCACAACCUCGCAAGCGGGAGCGCGACGCGGCCACUGCCGUAAAACGCCCAACUCUUCUGAAGUUGACCUCGAAUCAGGUAGGAAUACCCGCUGAACUUAAGCAUAUCAAUAAGCGGAGGA
rnacentral:misc_RNA from 1 species